rnacentral:lncRNA from 1 species
CACCUGCUGGCCAAAUUGCGUAAUAGCCGCAAAGGACUGCAUCAUACAAAACUGCCCAACUGUUUCCCUCAUGCAAUGUUAAAAAUUUUCAAGCCAUGAUUUGAAAUAAGGUUAUUGGCUUCUUUAUUGUAUUACUACAUAAGAUGUGGCGCGGCAUUUACUACUGUAAUUUACCCUUAUAUAAAUACUUCAACUUUCUGACUUUCAGAUAUUAUGGGGAGAGUCAUUAACAUCUCACAAGGCAUGUUUCACGGUCAUCCCACAACAUUUUUGCACCAAGUCAGGAACUUCUGGUCUUUCCAAGUCUAGUGUGGUUGUUUUUUUUUUUUAUAUUUGUAAAUUGUUCAUUUGAAUGAUGGAGUUUAGCAUGGCAUCCAUUUCAUAACAGCAAGUAUAUGCAAAAAUUGUUUAUUGGCUAGUUGAAGGCUGUCUCUCUGUGCUGCAUAGGAUUUCUUUUGCUCAAAUUUUCAUUGCUUUAAGAUAAUAUUUUUUUUAAUAGAAGUGUAAUUUCAAGC